GUAAGCUGACGAUGCUUACACAUGCAAGUCACCUUGAACUUCGGUUUGGGUGGCGGACGGGUGAGUAACGCGUAAAGAACUUGCCUCACAGCUAGGGACAACAUUUGGAAACGAAUGCUAAUACCUGAUAUUAUUAUUUUAUGGCAUCAUGGGAUAGUGAAAGCUAUAAGCGCUGCGAGAGAGCUUUGCGUCCCAUUAGCUAGUUGGAGAGGUAACGGCUCACCAAGGCGAUGAUGGGUAGCCGGCCUGAGAGGGUGAACGGCCACAAGGGGACUGAGACACGGCCCUUACUCCUACGGGAGGCAGCAGUGGGGAAUAUUAGACAAUGGACCGAGAGUCUGAUCCAGCAAUUCUGUGUGCACGAUGAAGUUUUUCGGAAUGUAAAGUGCUUUCAGUUGGGAAGAAAAGAAUGACGGUACCAACAGAAGAAGUGACGGCUAAAUACGUGCCAGCAGCCGCGGUAAU
rnacentral:rRNA from 1 species